AGUUUAUAUUAGGUUAUAAGAAAUUUUGAAAAUUUUUUAGAAGUGUUCGAUUCACUUAUGAACUU
rnacentral:tRNA from 1 species